AAAGUAGUAAUUUUAAUUAAAUAAAUUAAAGGUCAAGGGUCAUACAUUACACUCUGGGUUAUGCUGAGCCCUGCGAUUUCCCCAAAUGUGGGGAACUCAGUUGCAUAAUUUGUGGUAGUGGUGGGACUGUGUUUGCACUCCUGUA
rnacentral:snRNA from 1 species